rnacentral:rRNA from 1 species
UAGGGAAUCUUCGGCAAUGGGGGGAACCCUGACCGAGCAACGCCGCGUGAGUGAAGAAGGUUUUCGGAUCGUAAAGCUCUGUUGUUAAGUAAGAACGAGUGUGAGAAUGGAAAGUUCAUACUGUGACGGUACUUAACCAGAAAGGGACGGCUAACUACGUGCCAGCAGCCGCGGUAAUACGUAGGUCCCGAGCGUUGUCCGGAUUUAUUGGGCGUAAAGCGAGCGCAGGCGGUUAGAUAAGUCUGAAGUUAAAGGCAGUGGCUCAACCAUUGUAGGCUUUGGAAACUGUUUAACUUGAGUGCAGAAGGGGAGAGUGGAAUUCCAUGUGGAGCGGUGAAAUGCGUAGAUAUAUGGAGGAACACCGGUGGCGAAAGCGGCUCUCUGGUCUGUAACUGACGCUGAGGCUCGAAAGCGUGGGGAGCGAACAGG